rnacentral:rRNA from 1 species
UACGAGGGGGGCGAGCGUUGUUCGGAAUUAUUGGGCGUAAAGGGUGCGUAGGCGGUUUGGUAAGUCUUAUGUGAAAUCUACAGGCUCAACUUGUAGUCUGCAUGAGAAACUGCCGGGCUUGAGUAUGGGAGAGGUGAGUGGAAUUCCUGGUGUAGCGGUGAAAUGCGUGGAUAUCAGGAGGAACACCGAUGGCGAAGGCAGCCCCCUGGGCUAACACUGACGCUCAGGCACGAAAGCGUGGGGAGCAAACAGG